UGGAAAUGCUGCGGCAGAAACUGGAAGGGCCCUGCCUAGGAUUUUUCAUGGGCCGAUCUGCUGAAUUCAGCCUAGGAGCUGAGACCAACAUCUGAGUCUCUUCAGCACACAAGUUUGAAAGAAGUCCUAGCAACUUCAAGCUCAGAACUACGGGUGGCAGCAGCUCCCUCUUGACGUCGAAGCCUCCCAUUCCAGAGAGAGUCAAGGCCUGGAUCAAACAAAGCCCACAAGCACCGAUGACUGAGCUGCUGACUACCCCCAGCAUCUCCAACUCAACCUCCUCUUUCUGCCUCUACCCAAAUUUUAAAACUUUCAAACAUGGGUUUAAAAAUGGUAAUGAGUAAAGUUGCAUCCAAGUGUAUCAAAUAAAACUAAAUAUCCAUAAAUGCUGUAAUAAUUCCUGCUUUGAUGCUGAACUAAAGAAUUUUCUGCCAGGCGUGGUGGCUAACACCUGUAAUCCCAGCACUUUGGGAGGCCAAGGCAGGUGGAUCA
rnacentral:lncRNA from 10 species